rnacentral:lncRNA from 1 species
UCAUAGCACAUCAACAACGUUCUUUUGUGUGUGACCCAAUAGGCUCACAUUAAUUGGCAAUAGGCCCAGUCCCACAAGGCCCAUAAGUCAUAAGUGGCCUCUAGCAAGACAUUAUGACUACCCAACUAAUAUGAGGAUCAAUAGUCUGAUAAAGCCUAAUAAAUAGAACAUGUAUUAAUCCCUUUGUCACAUGAUAUCUAGUUUGAACAUAAGUCAUGGUCAAUGUCAAAUUUAUAAUAUUUAAACUUAUGAUUUCU